UACGGAGGGAGCUAGCGUUGUUCGGAAUUACUGGGCGUAAAGCGCACGUAGGCGGCGAUUCAAGUCAGAGGUGAAAGCCCGGGGCUCAACCGUGGAACUGCCUUAGAUACUGCCCGUCUCGAGGGAGGUAGGGGCGUGCGGAACUUCCGGUGGAGCGGUGAAAUGCGUAGAUAUCGGAAGGAACACCGGUGGCGAAAGCGGCGCGCUGGGCCUCUUCUGACGCUGAGGCGCGAAGCCAGGGGAGCAAACGGG
rnacentral:rRNA from 1 species